CAAAGUCAUUUGAUGGAGAAAUGUUGAUAAAAAUGAUGACAAAGAAAAUUCUACUUCUUAGCAGAACCGUGAGAAAGAAUGGGGAAGAGUCCAUCAAAUGGACUGUACAAGGAAUCAGAAUGGCUUUGCAGUUCUCAAUCGCAACCCUGAAGUCAAGAUGACUGAAGAAAUACCUCAAAAUUCAAAAGAAUAAUAAUUUCUAAAAUAGAAUAUUAUACUGAACCAAAUUAUCUGUCAAGUAAAGACAUUUCAGAAAUACAUUCUAAAAGUAUAUAUUCCACCCACUCACUCACGAAAAGCUACUAACGGGUAUAUACUAAUAAAAUAAGAAAGGGUAAGUAAGCAAACAAAAAGACUUAAGUAUUAGAAAACAGGAGCCCAGGAAAGAGGCAAAAGGCCAGAAAAAUCCUCAGAUAGAGAAGAGAAAAAUCCCAGGGUGUCAGUCAUGCACAGACCUACACCACAAGCAGCACAGGCUGGAAAAGUAUCACUUAAGAAACAGAUGUCAAAUAGUCCUAAUUAAAUAUUUCUAUUUUCCCUAAGGACAGGUGCUAGGAUCAGGCUAGCAGAGAUUCUUACACAUUUGCCCUUUUAGCCUUGAUUAUAUGCUGAUGCUCUCCUACUCUCCUUUAAAUGCCCUGUGUUCUGAAGCAGCCAACUUCACUCAUUGCACAAAACAUUUUGUCUUUGGAUAAGCUUGAGACCUGCAAAGCAAGCCGGCGACCUUAAAAGGAAACAGAAUGUAGCCCUCUCUCUCACUACAUUGCUAUUGGGUAUUCAAUAUCAGUCCUGCUGGAUACCCUGAUUGCUGAGAGGGCCUCAGUCAGAACUUUGUAGGCUGACUUCUCCAAGAAGGCACUCUUGGAAACGGUAACGGUGCCUGAAGCCAAUGAAUCAGAGACUGCUCACUUUAUCUUCUCCCGGGAGUCUUCAUCUAAAGGUAAUAGAUUUGUGCUCACUGCUCAGUUUUUCCACACCAAGCAAUAUACUGUUUAGAGAAAACACAUAGAAAGUAAAUCAUUUUUUAAAGCCAAGAAAUGAGUCAGGCAAAAGACAGUGGCUACCUGGAAAAGAGAGGACAGGAUGAGAGCAUCCUGAGAGAUGCAUUUGGAGAAGGACCUAACCCUCGGUAGGCACACAAGCCUUUUGAUAAUUUAAAUAUAUGUAUGGUGUGUGCAUAUGUAUGUUGAUAUGGUUUUGCUCUGUAUCCCCACUCAAAUCUCAUGCCGAAUUGUAGUCCCCACGUGAAGGUGGGCCCUGGUGGGAGAUGAUUGGAUCAAGAGGGUGGUUUCACCCUUGCUAUUCUCAUAAUGAGUGGGUUCUCAUUGAGAUUUGAUGGUCUAAAAGUGUUUAGCUUUCUUAGCUUUCUCUCUCCUGCCACCACGUGAAUAAGGCUUACAUUUUGCCUUUCAUCAUGAUUGUAAGUUUCCUGAGGCUUCUCAGUCAUGCAUUCUGUUAAGCAUGUAGAACUGAGUCAAAACUUUUCUUCAUAAAUUACCCAGUCUCAGGUAGUUCUUUAUAGCAGUGUAAGUAUGGACUAAUGCAUAUGAGUGUAUGUAGGUAUAUAUGUGUAUUAUACUUUUCUAUAAGUUAAAUUUUACAACAUUAAAACAAGUGGAAAUCAUUUAUAAUCCAAUCACACAUAUAAUCCUUUUUAUCACAAUAGUGUUUCUAUGCAUGUUUGUGACAUUUUUAAUCCAUUUUUUAAAUUUAACAGCAUAUUGUGGACAUUUUUGCAAAACAUAUCCAUCUUUUUUAAUGCAUUAUGUGAAUGUUUCAAAACUUAUUCAACUAUUCUCAGUGAGCAACUUUCCAUCUUGAAAUUUCCCUUUCUAAAAUGGCAACAAUGAUAUCUGUUCCUUUUCCCUGUGCUCAAGAAUGAAGUAACAACCCAAAAGACAAGACUGCAGAGCACUGAGAACUUGCUGGAAUGCUAGCACUCCACAGAUGGCUCUGUUCCAUUCAUUGAGAAGAUAGUUUCUUUAAAUUGUUAUAUCUAUACAUUUCUGUAUCCCACUGUUUUCAAAGAGUCAAGAAUGUAUAAUCCCAAUAAUAAAC
rnacentral:lncRNA from 1 species